GGACAAAUGGCCGAGUGGACUAAGGCGCUAGCUUCAGGUGUUAGUAUCGAAAGAUGCGUGGGUUCGAAUCCCACUUUGUCUA
rnacentral:tRNA from 2 species